rnacentral:rRNA from 1 species
CAGCUCGUGUCGUGAGAUGUUGGGUUAAGUCCCGCAACGAGCGCAACCCUUAUGACUAGUUGCCAGCAUUUAGUUGGGCACUCUAGUAAGACUGCCGGUGACAAACCGGAGGAAGGUGGGGAUGACGUCAAAUCAUCAUGCCCCUUAUGACCUGGGCUACACACGUGCUACAAUGGAUGGUACAACGAGUUGCGAGACCGCGAGGUCAAGCUAAUCUCUUAAAGCCAUUCUCAGUUCGGACUGUAGGCUGCAACUCGCCUACACGAAGUCGGAAUCGCUAGUAAUCGCGGAUCAGCACGCCGCGGUGAAUACGUUCCCGGGCCUUGUACACACCGCCCGUCACACCAUGAGAGUUUGUAACACCCGAAGCCGGUGGCGUAACCCUUUUAGGGAGCGAGCCGUCUAAGGUGGGACAAAUGAUUAGGGUG